rnacentral:rRNA from 1 species
UGCAAAGGUAGCAUAAUUAUUAGUCUUUUAAUUGAAGCCUUGAAUGAAUGAUUGGAUGAAAAAUUUACUUUAUUAAUUUAAAUUAUUUAAUUUAUGAUCUAAGUAAAAAUCCUUAGAUAAAUGAAUGGGACGAGAAGACCCUAUAGAGUUUUAUUUUUUUUUUUAUUAUAAAAUUCUAAAAUUAAUAUUUUUAUAAUAAUAAAAAAUUUUUGAUUGGGGUGAUCUUAAAAAUUAUUAAACUUUUAAUUAAUAUUUCAUUAAUCUAUGUUGAAUUGAUCCAAAAAUUUUUGAUUACAUGAUUAAAUUACCUUAGGGAUAACAGCGUUAUUAAUUUGAAGAGUUCAAAUCGAUAAAUUAGUUUGCGACCUCGAUGUUGGAUUAAAAAAAAAUUUUGAAGUAGUAUUUAAAAUAAUGGGUCUGUUCGACCUUUAAAUUCUUACGUGAUCUGAGGUU